CCUACGGGUGGCAGCAGUGAGGAAUAUUGGUCAAUGGACGAAAGUCUGAACCAGCCAAGUCGCGUGAAGGAUGACGGCCCUAUGGGUUGUAAACUUCUUUUGUAUGGGAGUAAACUGUUCCACGCGUGUGCUUCUGUAUGUAACCUACGAAUAAGGAUCGGCUAACUCCGUGCCAGCAGCCGCGGUAAUACGGAGGAUUCAAGCGUUAUCCGGAUUUAUUGGGUUUAAAGGGUGCGUAGGUGGUUGGUUAAGUUAGUGGUGAAAGCUUGAGGCUCAACCGCAGAAUUGCCGUUGAAACUGGCAGUCUUGAGUGUAGGAGAGGUAGGCGGAAUGCGUGGUGUAGCGGUGAAAUGCUUAGAGAUCAUGCAGAACUCCGAUUGCGAAGGCAGCUUACCGGGCUGCAACUGACGCUGAGGCACGAAAGCGUGGGUAGCAAACAGGAUUAGAUACCCGUGUAGUC
rnacentral:rRNA from 1 species